GGGACCGAGAGCCUAAGAGCACCUUCCACGCCCAGGGCUGUGGUAGAGGUUGGUGGGGGAGGAGCGCCGCGCGGUGUUUGGCAGGAAGAGGAGGCCUCUCUACUGGCCGGAAGCUGCGCUAGAAAAAGAGGGAGGAGACUGCGGCGCGGCAGCGACUAGAGCGAGUCGGAUGUGGCAGAGGGGCUGCGGCCGCCGCCACUGCCACCGCCAACAGGAAGGCGGAGGACGCAGGAGCCAAGAGCAAGGGACGCCGCCACGGUCCUCUUCGCCUGCCCCGCCGCCCUCUUAGAGACACUCCUUGCCUACGGAUCAUCCUCUCCCAGCUUUUGCAAGCACCGGGCUGCUAGCCCGCUGAUAUUCCUUCUCUAUAGGCUCACUGCUGAGGCUACGGCGAGGUGUCCGAUUUGGGCACUUGAGGCCCGCAAUCCGGGACGGUGGGGAAUCUGCGCCUCCUGGCCGGGCAUGAAGACCCCGUUUGGAAAGGCAGCUGCAGGGCAGCGGUCUGGGACAGGCGCUGGCCACGGCAGCGUGUCUGUUACCAUGAUGAAGAGGAAGGCUGCACACAAGAAGCAUAGGAGCCGACCCAUCUCCCAGCCUCGGAGGAACAUCGUGGGCUGUAGAAUUCAGCACGGAUGGAAAGAUGGAGAUGAACCUCUAACACAGUGGAAAGGAACCGUUCUGGAUCAGGUACCUGUAAAUCCCUCUCUGUAUCUUAUCAAAUAUGAUGGAUUUGACUGUGUUUAUGGAUUGGAACUUCACAGAGAUGAAAGAGUGUCAUCACUUGAAGUCCUUCCUAAUAGAGUUGCAUCAUCUAGAAUCAGUGAUACACACUUGGCAGAAAUAAUGGUUGGCAAAGCAGUGGAACAUAUUUUUGAGACAGAGGAAGGUUCCAAAAAUGAAUGGAGGGGGAUGGUCUUAGCUCAGGCACCUGUCAUGAACACAUGGUUUUACAUUACCUAUGAGAAAGAUCCUGUAUUAUAUAUGUACCAGCUCUUAGAUGAUUAUAAAGACGGUGACCUCCGCAUCCUUCAAGAUUCCAAUGAUUCUCCUCCCGCAGAGAGGGAGCCAGGAGAAGUCAUAGACAGCCUGGUAGGCAAACAGGUGGAGUAUGCCAAAGACGAUGGCUCCAAGAGAACUGGCAUGGUCAUUCAUCAGGUAGAAGCAAAACCCUCUGUUUACUUCAUCAAAUUUGAUGAUGAUUUCCAUAUCUAUGUCUACGAUUUGGUAAAAACAUCUUAGAGAUCAUCUUGAAAUUUGCCAAAUAUAUGAGACUCUAAAUCUGUAGACACAAAAAGUCUUGAUUGCUUUCCAGUUUGUAAGAACCAUCUUCUCCCUUUUUGCACGUUUUGCUUGGCAAAAAAUUGGAACUUCUGCCCUCUCAUAUGUUUUUGGAAGAAACCUUUUGCCCAUCUGUCCAACCUUUUCACUGGUUCCUGUCCACAAUUUAACUGUUUAGUGAGAAGGAUGAAACCUGACAUCCAUUGGCUCAUACUUUUUUUUUUUUUUAUCUUGGGUGGUGUUAAUAGAUUAAAGGUAGCUGAACACCUCUCACCUCAUUCUUUUUGGCACUUGGACUCUACACUCAUUGAGGUGUGAAGCUUGCUGAGAUACCCCAUGUGACUGGCUGGCUCCUUUGAAUAAACCUGCCCACCACCAAGAACCUAUACAUGACUUUCUUUUCAUUGUAUCAAAGUAAUGUGUCCACCGGUGUGAGCACCAGCAACUCACUUCUUCCUCAGACAUCUCUAAAGCUGGAAAGAUUUUGAGGGACAGUAUGGUUUCCUUCACCCCACCCCAAUGUUAUGAAUGAGACCAGGAGACCAACAGCAAACAUCUGGAAGGUUAAGAUGGUGGUAAACUGAUGAUGCUUCAUCUACUUUUACUCUCUCACUGAAUAAUCCAUGAUGGACUGGAGAACCUCAAUGAUUGGUUCACCAUACUCUGGCAGAAAUUCCUACUGACUGCCAUAUAGGUAGGGCUUGACUAAGAAACUCUUGGUAACCAAUGCAGACUCAGACCUCUUGAAAAAAAAAAAAACCAGCAGGGCUAAGCUGAAUAAAAGCCAAAAUUACUAUGUUUGCCAAAUUACACUGUCAGGUUUUGUAGAACAGCUAGGACUCUCAUAUACCUAAAGAUUGUGAAAAGAUGUAUAGAGAUUGCUGAGGUUGUAAAUAUAUGUUGUGUUUAAUCUAACACUGUAAUCUACAAUGGCCUUUCAAUGAAAGUUUAAGGAAUUUGGAAUCUAUUCUGCAGGCAGAAGGGAAAGUAUUGAUGAUUUUGAGCAGUGACAAUAGGAUCAGAUGCAUGCUUUAAAAGGUCUAGAAGUAUAAAGGGUGUAUGUAUAUUAGGGCUGGAGUGGCUGGAGGCUGGGAGACAAACUUAUUGCAAGACUCCACAUAAAAUCAUAUUUACCUCACUGAGUCCUGUCCUCAGGUAAAUACUGUUAAUUAAAAGGGUUUCACCAUUUAUAGAGCCUUCAGAUGAUUUAUCCUUAAUGUUAUUACCCCCACAUGUGCUCAUGAACAAGCCUCUCAGAUCUUCUGCUCCCGUCUUGUGAUGGUAGCAUGUUCCUGCUUCUGGUGGUGCUAAACCCUGGGCAAUCAUCUGUCCUAGGAACAGGUGUUCUUCAUGGGUGACUGCUGUGAAACCAACAGGAUGGCCUCUUUUCUAUUUAAUCCUAAGAGUGGGCAUAAGGUAAGCAUUUGUAAGAUUUUACUGAAAGUAUUGGAGUAUAAGAAGGAAAAUGCUACACUGAAUAUAAUUAUAACUAUUCAGGCACAGACCAAUCCCAGAGUCUCUUACCAAGUUGACUCUCCUGUCUGUCUUCCUUUUCUGCCUUCACUUGGCUUCAGACAGCUCACCUUCCAAUCACUGGAAGUGUUUAGAGCAUCUCCACAUGUCUCCACAAGGUGGAGAUCAAGGCCAAAUUUUUCACCAGCCCCAGAUACUGGAAGGAGUAUUUUUUUUCUUCAUUCAUAAUCAAUGUAAGGACUGCCUUCUAGGUCUUUAUUUCAUAUUCAUACAUUGAAUCUGACAGUGGCAACAUAUUACCUUUAGAGGAAAUUCUGUCUAUGCCUAAAGCAGUGUGGUCUAGCUUUAUGGUUUGAUUAAAGACAAUCACAAUAUCCAAUAUAUUUCCUAUAUCACAUGUAGGCCAUCAACAGUCGGAUCAAGGUUUGGCUAUGUCAAGUCCAACACAGCUCCUAGGCAUCAAAUGAUCAUAAACUCUGGAGGUUCACUCUCACUCAUGGCACCUGUCUUAAACCGUUUUCUGUUGCUUAUAACAAAAUACCUGAAAUUUUAUUAAAAAAAUAAAGUUUAUUUCUUACAGUUCUGGAGGCUGGGAAGUUCAAGAUUGAGGGGCCACAUGUGGUGAGGGCCUUCUUGAUGGUAGAAACUCUCUGCAGUCCUGAAGUAGCGCAGGGUAUCACAUGGCAAGGGGACUAAGUAUGCUAACAUGGUAGCUUAGGUCUCUUUUUAUCUUCUUAUAAAGCCACCAGUUCUAUUUCCAUGAUAAUCCAUCAGUGGAUUAAUCCAUUCACAAGGGCAGAACCCUCAUGUUCCAAUCACCUGUUAAAGGCCAUACCUCUGAAUACUGCCAUCUUGGAGAUAAAGUUUCAACAUAAGUUUUAGAGGGAAUAUUCAAACCAUAGCAUUUCCUUUCUGUGUAUUUGUGUGCACACAUGUACACGUUUGUAGAGACACAGAGAGAGAGGACUAGAGAGGCAGAGAACGCAUAUAUACACCUGUACAUUAAAUCCAUCUAUGUACACAUAUAUGAAGUUGUAAAAAUGGAACCAUAGUAUAUAUCCUCCUCUAUAAAUUUCUCCACUUAAUAGAAUGUGAACAUGUUUGUAGGUUCUUUUAUACACAGUUACUUCUUUAUAUAGUAUUCCGUUGUGUGAAUAAAGCAUAAUUUAUUUAGCAAAUCCUUGUUCAUAUAUAUUGGAACAGUUUCCAAAAUUUGGUUAUUAUGAACAAUGUCACCAAGAACAUUGUCAUACACAUAUAAUGUGUACUUAUACGUGAAUUUCAAUAGGGUGACCUGUUAAUUCAAAUAUUUAUUUCUUAUCUUUCCAGGUAAAAUAUUGGGUAGGUCCUUUGGAGUUCUAGACUAAGUUUGAGAUUACAGAAGAUAUGCUCAACAUCCUCCUUUGACCUGGUCCCAGUUUCACAAUAUUCAAUAGAUGCUUUAUAGUCUCUGGUAAGGAGAUGUACAAUUCUCUGAUUUUACUACAGUUUUUAGGGAAUUUUAUUUUGUUCAUUUCAACAAGAAAAAUUACAUAAAUAGGUAACAGCUCCACUCAAAGCUGUGUUUUAAACAAACAAAAUAUUGGACUUUGUGAACAAAUGUGGUACUUUUUCUUUCUGUAAUUAUUGGCUAGCAAUCUUAUUUUACUAAAUCUAUACUGACAAAUUUAAUUUGGUCCAUUUAUUUGAGUUUAAAGAUUAUUUCAUACUCUCCCCAGUGAAACAGUCAUGGGCCAUUGCUAUCCUAGCAGCUUCCCUCAAGAACGAUGAGAUAGUCUUCUUUUCCCUCUAGAGCAUAAAUUUCAGUGGCAGGUAAAACUGUUUUAGCAUCAAUAUGCUCACGUCUUCCAUGAUACGUUUUUCUUCCCUACUAAACUGAAAGUUUCUCUAAGUUACCAUAGCCACUCACAAGUUUUUCUCUACCUAACUGAAGUUGCCAUCUUCUGCUGAUCAUUAGGACAUUAACUUUUAGAAUCAUUUCUGUUUUAGCCUCUUAUUUUGAAGGCAGCUUUUAAAUUUCCUCAGAGAAAUUGCAAUGGAACGAAAAUUUGUUCUCUUUUUACAUAUGUACCCUUUUAUAAGAGAUGUAAUAUUUUUCGAUAAAAUGUUUAAUUAAUGCAAAACCAUGUCUCUAACAGUGUGAAGGUUAUAAAGAGUAAUAGUAGUAGAAAUAUCCAUGUACCAAUCACACAGAAUAAUUCUAGUCAGAUAUAGUUUUUGUAAGGACAAAAAAGAAAAUAGAUCUAAAGAUUUACAGUUUAACGAAGGUUAUUUAGAUAGGACUCGCUCCAUACUUAUUCGAUUCUCCAUUUUCCACUGAAUUUCCUUUCCAAACAAUGUACAGUAUUCUCAAUAUCUAUCAAAACUCCAUAAAAGUUAUGAUUCCCAAUUUAUUCAGACUGUCCACCAAGAUGUUUUCUCCCAAGCAUCGCAUUCUUGAACCAAGCCAUUAAAGACUUGGACUGUGACACAGUUUUCAUUCUGAGAACUAUACACAUCAGUGUAAUUACCCUCACCUCCUAUUUACUACCCUAUAAGGGGAAUCCCUAUGGCGUUAGGCUUAUAUACACAUCUAGGAGCUCUAAGGACUAGGAAAAGUUAAAAAUGAACCACUCAAUAAGGUAGCUCUUCAGACCCUUCAGUGCCUACCACGACGGGGAACAAUUCCACAGGAAAUGGAUUAGGCAGAGUCAUCCCAAACCUAAGCUGUCUCUACUGGCUACAAAUAAACUGUGGAGUUCCAACCCACACUAACCAGCCAGCCAUACCCCGGGCUUUCAUUCUCAUAAAAGACUAAACUACUGUAAACCCAAAAUAAAAUUCUAAGGCCCCCCCAACCAUCUGAAUGGACAUCCUCCUCUGCCAGGGCACUCUAAAAUUUAACCUGAAAAACUGGUUCAGGAUAUGACAGAAAGUGAGGGGGUCGGACCUGCAUCAUUAUACCCUCCAACAUUAGCAUAAACACAGACCUUAAGUAUGAUAAGAAAUAUUCUAAUGUAUUCUCUCUGAAGCCGGGCUCCAUCAGGAUGAUGAAACUUUGGUGUCUACAAUCUCUUACUAUAACCCAGACAUUGCAUUUUAUUGAUAAUAACUCAACCAGUUGCCAAUCAGAAAAUUUUCAAAUCUACCUAUAAAUUGAAAGCAUCCCCUGCUUCCAGUUGUCCCGCCUUUCUGGACCGAAUCGAUGUGUAUCUUAAAUGUAUUUAAAUGUCUCAUGUCUCCCUAAAAUGUAUAAAAUCAAGCUGCACCCCAACCACCUUGGGCACAUGUUCUCAGGAUAUCCUGAGGGCUGUGUCACAGGCCAUAGUCACUCAUAUUUGUCUCAGAAUAAAUCUUUUCAAAUAUUUUA